AUCUAUGGCCAUGCCGCUCUGAACCUUCCCGAUCAUGUCUGAUCUUGGAAGCUAAGCAGGCUCAGGUCUGGUUAGUACCUGGAAGGGAUUCUGUCUGGGAAUAUUGGGUACUGUAGACU
rnacentral:rRNA from 1 species